AGUGAACGCUGGCGGUAGGCCUAACACAUGCCAGUCGAACGGCAGCACAGUAAGAGCUUGCUCUUACGGGUGGCGAGUGGCGGACGGGUGAGGAAUACAUCGGAAUCUACUUUUUCGUGGGGGAUAACGUAGGGAAACUUACGCUAAUACCGCAUACGACCUACGGGUGAAAGCAGGGGAUCUUCGGACCUUGCGCGAUUGAAUGAGCCGAUGUCGGAUUAGCUAGUUGGCGGGGUAAAGGCCCACCAAGGCGACGAUCCGUAGCUGGUCUGAGAGGAUGAUCAGCCACACUGGAACUGAGACACGGUCCAGACUCCUACGGGAGGCAGCAGUGGGGAAUAUUGGACAAUGGGCGCAAGCCUAAUCCAGCCAUACCGCGUGGGGGAAGAAGGCCUUCGGGUUGUAAAGCCCUUUUGUUGGGAAAGAAAAGCAGCAGGUUAAUACCCCGCUGUUCUGACGGUACCCAAAGAAUAAGCACCGGCUAACUUCGUGC
rnacentral:rRNA from 1 species